rnacentral:misc_RNA from 1 species
AAGUCGUAACAAGGUUUCCGUAGGUGAACCUGCGGAAGGAUCAUUAAUAAGUCGUCCUACUUACGGGUAGGAUAGAUUCCACGUAUGUUAACAGUUCAGAUCUCUCUCUUAGGAAACUCUGAGAGGGGCUGGCUGGACUUCUUGAUAUUUGAACCUGUCGAAAGACAGGAUCGUCUCGCAUGAUAGAGGUUUGCGGUGGCGGAUAGUAAUAUCUGCCUUUGGGAUGAAUACUUAAAACCCGUGUCUAUCUUCUUUGUUGCUUUGGCGGGUCGCCUCACGGCGUCGGCUCCGGCUGACCGU